rnacentral:rRNA from 1 species
UACGAAGGGUGCAAACGUUGCUCGGAAUUACUGGGCGUAAAGCGCACGUAGGCGGCUUUCUAAGUCGGGGGUGAAAUCCUGGAGCUCAACUCCAGAACUGCCUUCGAUACUGGAAAGCUCGAGUCCGGGAGAGGUGAGUGGAACUGCGAGUGUAGAGGUGAAAUUCGUAGAUAUUCGCAAGAACACCAGUGGCGAAGGCGGCUCACUGGCCCGGUACUGACGCUCAGGCGCGACAGCGUGGGGAUCAAACAGGG